GACGAACGCUGGCGGCGUGCUUAACACAUGCAAGUCGAACGGAAAGGCCCUGCUUUUGUGGGGUGCUCGAGUGGCGAACGGGUGAGUAACACGUGAGUAACCUGCCCUUGACUUUGGGAUAACUUCAGGAAACUGGGGCUAAUACCGGAUAGGAGCUCCUGCUGCAUGGUGGGGGUUGGAAAGUUUCGGCGGUGGGGGAUGGACUCGCGGCUUAUCAGCUUGUUGGUGGGGUAGUGGCUUACCAAGGCUUGGACGGGUAGCCGGCAUGAGAGGGUGACCGGCCACAUUGGGACUGAGAUACGGCCCAGACUCCUACGGGAGGCAGCAGUGGGGAAUAUUGCACAAUGGGCGGAAGCCUGAUGCAGCAACGCCGCGUGCGGGAUGACGGCCUUCGGGUUGUAAACCGCUUUCGCCUGUGACGAAGCGUGAGUGACGGUAAUGGGUAAAGAAGCACCGGCUAACUACGUG
rnacentral:rRNA from 1 species